GUGCCAACUUCGGCAGCACUUAUGCUAAAAUUGGAACAAUAACAGAAGAUUAGCAUGCCCCUGCGCAAGGAGGACACUCAGAUUCCUGAAGCGUUCCAUAUUUCU
rnacentral:snRNA from 1 species